rnacentral:rRNA from 1 species
AUAAAAUUAAAGGGCUGCAGUAAUUUGACUGUACAAAGGUAGCAUAAUCAUUAGUCAUUUAAUUGAUGACUUGUAUGAAAGAUUGGAUGAAAUAUAGACUGUCUCUUAAUUAUAUAAUAGAAUUUAAUUUUUUAAUUAAAAAGUUAAAAUAAUUUAGAAAGACGAGAAGACCCUAUAGAGUUUUAUAAUUUUUUUAUUUAAAAUUUUUUGAUUUAUAUAAAAUUAAUAUUAAAAAAAUUAUUUUGUUGGGGUGACAGAAAAAUAAAUAAAACUUUUUUUAUAAUUAAACAUAUAUAAGUGAGUAUUUGAUCCAAUAAUAUUGAUUAUAAGAAAAAAUUACCUUAGGGAUAACAGCGUAAUUUUUUUUUUUAGUUCAUAUAAAAAAAAGAGUUUGCGACCUCGAUGUUGGAUUAAGAUAAAAUUUAAAUGCAGAAG